UACGUAGGGUGCGAGCGUUGUCCGGAAUUAUUGGGCGUAAAGGGCCUCGUAGGCGGUUUGUCACGUCUGCUGUGAAAUCCCGAGGCUCAACCUCGGGCCUGCAGUGGGUACGGGCAGACUGGAGUGCGGUAGGGGAGAAUGGAAUUCCUGGUGUAGCGGUGGAAUGCGCAGAUAUCAGGAGGAACACCGAUGGCGAAGGCAGUUCUCUGGGCCGUAACUGACGCUGAGGAGCGAAAGCGUGGGGAGCGAACAGG
rnacentral:rRNA from 1 species